AUUGUAUCUUCGCUUAGUUGAUCGAUCUGUAUAGAACACAUAGGAUGGAAUAGGUGCAUUGCAUUCGCUUAGUCUGCAAUUUUGAAGAUCGAAUUAGCCUUCGCUUAGUUGGGUGAUUCGUGUUGGAUUUGGAUUAGAGUAGUGUGUACUUGUCGUUAAUCUGUGAUUGGAAGCAUAGUAAUUGAGUUAAUGACCAACCAUUUUUAUUCUGUAUUUGAUUCCGUUUUGCAUUUCUAUUUUCACAUUCUUGUUUGCAUCUGUGUUUACAUUUAAUUCAUCCGCAAUCACAAACCUUUCACAACCCCCCC
rnacentral:lncRNA from 1 species